GACGAACGCUGGCGGCGUGCUUAACACAUGCAAGUCGAACGGAAAGGCACUGCUUUUGUGGGGUGCUCGAGUGGCGAACGGGUGAGUAACACGUGAGUAACCUGCCCUUGACUUUGGGAUAACUUAAGGAAACUGGGGCUAAUACCGGAUAGGAGCUCCUGCUGCAUGGUGGGGGUUGGAAAGUUUCUGCGGUUGGGGAUGGACGCGCGGCUUAUCAGCUUGUUGGUGGGGUAGUGGCUUACCAAGGCUUUGACGGGUAGCCGGCCUGAGAGGGUGACCGGCCACAAUGGUACUGAGAGACGGCGCAGACUCCUACGGGGGGCAGCAGUGGGGAAUAUUGCACAAUGGGCGGAAGCCUGAUACAGCGACGCCGCGUUCGGGAUGACGGCCUGCGGGUUGUGAACCGCUUUCGCCUGUGACGAAGCGUGAGUGACGGUAAUGGGUAAAGAAGCACCGGCUAACUACGUG
rnacentral:rRNA from 1 species